rnacentral:rRNA from 1 species
GCAAGUCGCACGAGAAAGUUCUUCGGAACGAGUAGAGUGGCGCACGGGUGAGUAACGCGUGGGAAUAUGCCCUUCUCUAAGGAAUAGCCUCUGGAAACGGAGAGUAAUACCUUAUACGCCCUUUGGGGGAAAGAUUUAUCGGAGAAGGAUUAGCCCGCGUUAGAUUAGGUAGUUGGUGGGGUAAUGGCCUACCAAGCCUACGAUCUAUAGCUGGUUUGAGAGGAUGAUC